CCUACGGGUGGCAGCAGUAGGGAAUAUUGCUCAAUGGGGGAAACCCUGAAGCAGCAACGCCGCGUGGAUGAUGAAGGUUUUCGGAUUGUAAACUCCUUUUGUUAGAGAAGAUAAUGACGGUAUCUAACGAAUAAGCACCGGCUAACUCCGUGCCAGCAGCCGCGGUAAUACGGAGGGUGCAAGCUUUACCCGGAAUCACUGGGCGUAAAGAGCGCGUAGGCGGGAGAGCAAGUCAGAUGUGAAAUCCUAUGGCUUAACCAUAGAACUGCAUUUGAAACUGUUCUUCUAGAGUACGGGAGAGGUAGGUGGAAUUCUUGGUGUAGGGGUAAAAUGCGUAGAGAUGAAGAGGAAUACUAGUUGCGAAGGCGACCGGCUGGAACAUAACUGACGCUGAGGCGCGAAAGCGUGGGGAGCAAACAGGAUUAGAUACCCGAGUAGUC
rnacentral:rRNA from 1 species